GAGGGAUUGGGGGCAGGAGGAGAAGGGGACAACAGAGGAUGAGAUGGCUGGAUGGCAUCACCGACUCGAUGGACGUGAGUUUGAGUGAACUCCGGGAGUUGGUGAUGGACAGGGAGGCCUGGCAUGCUGUAAUUCAUGGGGUCCAAAGAGUCGGACACAACUGAGCAACUGAACUGAACUGAAGAUAAAAUGGACAUGUAAUUGGUGCCAGAAUGGAGGACAUGCACAGAAGGAAGAGUAUGUGAAUAUAAAAAUAGCCAUCUAUAAGCCAAGGAGAUAGAGCCCUUGAAACAACCCUGUCAACUCAUUGAUCUCAGACUUCUAGACCCCAAGACUGUGAGAAAAUGAAUAUCUAUUGUUUAAGCCACCCAGUCUUUGGUACUUAAGACAGACCUAGCAAACUAAUUGUUUGAUAUUUUUUAAACUAUUUAUAUUUAAUUUCUUUUUAAUUUCCUCUUUGACCCAUGAUUUUUUUAUUUGUUUAGAUGUGUGUUAUAUAAUUGCCAUAUAUUUGUGGUUGUCAUGAAAUCUUUAUUUAAUUGAUAGUAAGUUGGGUUUUUUGUUUGUUUCUGGUGUGUUUGAAGGAGCAUGCACUAUAUGCUUUGCUUUAUGGCCCAGAAUAUGGUUUAUUUUGUCAAUAUUUUAUGUUUACUUGUUAGUGAUGUGUAUUCUGCUGUAUGAGUCUAGUGUUCUGCAAUGCCAAUUAGGUCAAAUUGGUUGAUAUGUUGUACAAGAUUGCUCUAUUACUGCUUUUUUUUUUUUUUUUGACAAUAUGUUCUACCAAUUACUGGAAAAGAAGUGCUAAAAUCUUAAACCAUAAUGGUUAAUGUAUUUUCUUUUUUUUCCCUUUUGUUAGUUCUGUCCAUUUUUGCUUUAUGACUCUGAUUCUACCUUAUUACUCUGAUACUAGGUACAUGAACAUGGAGAAUGGUUAUGCCAUUUUGGUGAAUUUACCCAUUUUUCAUUACACUAGGUCUUUUAUUUUUGUUAAUUUUUUUUUACUUAAAGCUUACUUUUCUAAUAUUGUUGUUGUUGUUCAGUUGCUCAGUCAUGUCUGACUUUGCUUUCCCAUGGACUGCAGUAUUCCAGGCUUCCCUGUCCUUCAC
ensembl:lncRNA